GCUCAGGAUGAACGCUGGCGGCGCGCCUAACACAUGCAAGUCGAACGAGCGAGAGAGAGCUUGCUUUCUCGAGCGAGUGGCGAACGGGUGAGUAACGCGUGAGGAACCUGCCUCAAAGAGGGGGACAACAGUUGGAAACGACUGCUAAUACCGCAUAAGCCCACGGGUCGGCAUCGACCAGAGGGAAAAGGAGCAAUCCGCUUUGAGAUGGCCUCGCGUCCGAUUAGCUAGUUGGUGAGGUAAUGGCCCACCAAGGCGACGAUCGGUAGCCGGACUGAGAGGUUGAACGGCCACAUUGGGACUGAGACACGGCCCAGACUCCUACGGGAGGCAGCAGUA
rnacentral:rRNA from 1 species